UGCGAGACCGAUAGCGAACAAGUACCGUGAGGGAAAGAUGAAAAGAACUUUGAAAAGAGAGUUAAAGAGUACCUGAAACUGCUGAAAGGGAACCGAAUCGUUUCCAGUGUCUAUAAUCCGUGGUAUAGUUCAUUGGCGAGUGUGUGCGUGCGU